rnacentral:rRNA from 1 species
UACGUAGGGGGCAAGCGUUGUCCGGAAUCAUUGGGCGUAAAGAGCGUGUAGGCGGCUCGAUAAGUCUGCUGUGAAAGUCCAGGGCUCAACCCUGGAAGGCCGGUGGAAACUGUCGGGCUAGAGUCCGGAAGAGGCGAGUGGAAUUCCCGGUGUGAGCGGUAGAAAUGCGCAGAUAGUCGGGAGGAACACCAAUGGCGAAGGCAGCUCGCUGGGACGGUACUGACGCUGAGACGCGAAAGCGUGGGGAGCAAACAGGG